GACGAACGCUGGCGGCGUGCUUAACACAUGCAAGUCGAACGGAAAGGCCCUGCUUUUGUGGGGUGCUCGAGUGGCGAACGGGUGAGUAACACGUGAGUAACCUGCCCUUGACUUUGGGAUAACUUCAGGAAACUGGGGCUAAUACCGGAUAGGAGCUCCUGCUGCAUGGUGGGGGUUGGAAAGGUUCGGCGGUUGGGGAUGGACUCGCGGCUUAUCAGCUUGUUGGUGGGGUGGUGGCUUACCAAGGCUUUGACGGGUAGCCGGCCUGAGAGGGUGACCGGCCACAUUGGGACUGAGAUACGGCCCAGACUCCUACGGGAGGCAGCAGUGGGGAAUAUUGCACAAUGGGCGGAAGCCUGAUGCAGCAACGCCGCGUGCGGGAUGACGGCCUUCGGGUUGUAAACCGCUUUCGCCUGUGACGAAGCGUGAGUGACGGUAAUGGGUAAAGAAGCACCGGCUAACUACGUG
rnacentral:rRNA from 1 species